rnacentral:rRNA from 1 species
AGAGGGUGCGAGCGUUAAUCGGAUUUACUGGGCGUAAAGCGUGCGUAGGCGGCUUUUUAAGUCGGAUGUGAAAUCCCCGAGCUUAACUUGGGAAUUGCAUUCGAUACUGGGANNNUAGAGUAUGGGAGAGGAUGGUAGAAUUCCAGGUGUAGCGGUGAAAUGCGUAGAGAUCUGGAGGAAUACCGAUGGCGAAGGCAGCCAUCUGGCCUAAUACUGACGCUGAGGUACGAAAGCAUGGGGAGCAAACAGGAUUAGAUACCCUGGUAGUCCAUGCCGUAAACGAUGUCUACUAGCCGUUGGGGCCUUUGAGGCUUUAGUGGCGCCACKAACGCGAUAAGUAGACCGCCUGGGGAGUACG